GGUGCCGCCCGGCCCGCUCCGCCCGCGGCUCAGGACCGCACCAUUCGGGCUUAGACGGGGUGGGUUGCUCCCUCUGACUUGGGCUCGCCCGGUCGGCUCCGGACCGGGCCACUCAGCGCGGAUGGGAGGGGACGGAUGCUUCGACCUCAUCCCAUUGCCAUGGCGUCUUAUGUCCUGAUCUCAUUGUCCCAUCAUGUGUAGCACCGCCCGUCCUGACCUCAUCGUGGCACCUCGCAUCCUGACCUCCCCCCGUUGCCACAACAUAUCGUGCCCCACCUUCUCCAUAUCAUCCCAGCCCCAUACAUCCUGACCUUAUCCCGCUGUCACUGAGUGAUGGGCUGACCCCACUGCAUCAUCAUAUCGGGCCAUGACCUCACCGCCACAUUGCCAUGAUGUCACGUUGCCUUGGCGUGUUACAUCCUGACCUCGCCGUGUCACGAGCUGAGUUGAGAGAUCUGGGAUUUGCAGUUUAUAAGAAUGAAUUUUCUACUUGUCUCGGGGACAUGGAGAACGGAGAACAAUCCUUGGGUGGAAGGUGCUAUAGAUAUGCUAAUGAUCCUGUUUAUCUGACCUGGAUUUCCAGGUAGGCUUCUGUCUCCAGACCUAGUGACCACCAAACGUACCUAAGUAAUGAACUCCUUCUAAUGAAGCGAACUCUCACUGCUAUAACUGCACAGUGAUCCACUCAAUUUCCUGUUUUUGUCAGAGCAUGUUUCAUCCCAUGGACUCUUACUCUUAGUCAUGUUAGUAUUAAAAGGACAUUGAAAUUCUUUCCUGGUUUUUAUUAUCUUCUUUAGAUAGCCAAAUAUUGACUUGUGAAAUUCAAGAGGGGUCAGGAUUUCACUGUUUCUGGAAACUGACUCAUUCCCGUGGUGUCAAGCCUAACCUUUAGAAAAUUACACCUUGCACCAGUUAUUUACCCAUGAAAAGUCCCCUUAUAAUGCUAUGUCUAAAACCCUCUCCCUGAUACAGUUAGCCAUGCUUCAGUCCUUUCUUGAAAUGUACUUCUCCCAGACAUGGGAGCUGGCAACAGGAGGGCCAAAGAGCCAUUGCCCCAUACUUUUUAAACAGGGGGGCCAUGCUGCCCACUUUUGAGAACGUGAACUUGGCAGCAGGGAUACAUUGAGAGCAGUGGGCAGGAGUCAUUCUUACUUCUUCAGGGGUCCUUCUUACUGCCCCGCUUUGACCUCUGAUCAGAACUGGAUUGCAUAAGGCAGAACCCCUUCCCUUGGCCCAGCCAUCCUGUCGGCAUGACGGAAGGGUGGCUGGGCCAAAUGUGAGUUGCAUUGAGACCCUGUGCUGCAGGUUGCAACACCACUCACUCAUAUUUGGCUGUCCCUCCCUUCAACUUCUGCUGUCCUUCUGGCACCAUUGCUCUCCUCAGACCUAUACCUUGAGUCUCCCCUUUAGAUAUGCACUCAUGGAUUCAGUGACUGAAACUUCAGAUACAAAUGACACAGAUUAAAAAAUCCAGGCAGAAACCAUGCAACCACCAUGACUGAUGCUAAACAUUUCCAUUCCAUAGGAACAUAGGGAAAUGUCUCAUUGGAUCACACUUGAAGUCCACCUGUCCAGUAAUGCCCAGCAACAGCUACUUCAGAGGAAGAUGUAAGAAUCCCACAGCAGCAGAUGUGGGAUAAUGUGCCCCUCACAGUAGAUCUCAUCCUGGUCUCUAUGGGUAUGUCUAUACUCCAAAAAACAAAACAAAACCAGCAAGUGGGUUUCAAAUCCUAAGCAGGAACAUCUCCACACAGCUGUUUUGAGCCCUGUAGACCAGGGCUCUGAGACUUGCUGCUGUGGGUUUUUUCCCCCAGUGUAUAUGUACCCUAUUAGUCAGAGAUCUGCUUAAACACUGAAGCAUGAGCCAUAAUAUCCCUUCCAGAAUUGUAGUUAGCAGUAACUAUGCUAAUUCUAGAUAUUCUGGUUAUCCAUAGAAAUAUCCAAUCCCUCUUUGAAUCUUGCUAAGCUCUUGGCCUUAAUGACUCCAUGUAGCAGUGGGUUCCACAGUCUGUCUACGCACAGUGUGAAGAAGUAUCUCCUUUGAUCAGGUUUUAACUUGUCACCUUUUCAUUUCAUUGACUAUUCAUUCCAGAUCACGCUGCUUUUUGUUGUGUGGUUUCCUCUAUUCUCCAUUUGUACAUUGUGUAUUUAGAUAGCAAGCUCUUCAGGGCAAGGACUGAGUUUUCUUACAAGUUUUCAUGACUAGCACACUGUUGGUUUUGAAUACUACAGUGGUGAGUGCUCCAGAAUACAAGUAAACUCUGAUGAUCCCAACUCCAAUUAUCUGAAAUGUGCCACUUACAGUGCUGAAACUUUCUUUGCUCAGGGGUGUGAAAAAACACCCCCCUGAGCAAUUCAAGUUUCAGCGCUGUAAAAUGGACAUGUAGACAGUGCU